GACAGAGUCUCACUCUUCACUCGGGCUGCAGUGCAGUGGAGCAAUAGUUGCUCACUGUAACCUCAAACUCCUGGGCCUAAGCAAUCCUCUGGCCUCAGCUUCCUGAAUGACUAGGACCACAGGUGAGAGCCACCUCAUCCAGGUAAUCUUUAAAUUAUUUUUCAUGUAAGGAUGGGAUUUUGCUAUGUUGCCCAAGCUGAUCGUGAAUUCUUGUCCUCAAGUGAUCCUCCACCCUAGCCUCCCAAAGCCUAAGGAUACAGACCUGAGCCAUCAAACCCAGCUUGUGAGAAAGGUGCCUGCUUCCCGUUUCACCACAACUGAAACAAGACACACAGAUUAAAUAAAAA
rnacentral:lncRNA from 1 species